rnacentral:rRNA from 1 species
CAGCAGUCGGGAAUUUUGGGCAAUGGGGGAGACCCUGACCCAGCAACGCCGCGUGAGUGAAGAAGGCUUUCGGGUUGUAAAGCUCUGUUGCCCGGGAAGAAUGGGCAGGUGUGGAGCCUGCCGUGACGGUACCGGGUGAGGAAGCCCCGGCUAACUACGUG